CUCCGUCUAUAUCUGUUAAAAUCUGUGAACGUAAAUAAUCAUGUUUCAUGUACAUGACCUAUACAAAAGGGCAAAAGCGAUUUUUUAGACUUUUUUGGGUGAUAAAAAUAAAUGUUUUCCAUCUUUAGUGAGUUUUUAUUCAAAUUAGAUAAAAAAAAAUUAUAUUUUUAAACUUUUCUUAUCAAAAGGAACCGAAAAAAUAUAAAUUUUUGAAUAAGCGAUGAAACAAAUUCACUAAAAAUGAAAAGAAACUUAUAUUUAAACUAAUUUAAUCCAAUAUAGUCAUGUGAAAUUCUAAUGAAUGUGGACCCUCGUCUACAUCACAACUGAUUCAAAAGUUUAAAGUUUAAUAUGUCCAAAUUAAAAUGUGAGGACAAAAAUAGAAUACAGAUAAAAGUUGAAAGAUUAAAAUAAAAAUUACCCAUAUCUAUGUUAUGCCAAGAAUGAGAAAUUAUUUAGUGUUCUUAGAAGUGAACAGUGAUAUACAGAAUGAAGCUGAACAGUGCAUGUCGGUAUUUUCUAUUUCAACAGUAGUUUUUCUAUCAAAAUCUGAUAGUAGUGACUGAAACUGUUGAUUUAAGCAAACGGAUCUUAGGCAUCUUGAGCUUGGGACCCGUAUGGAUCUGGGGAUUCUGACUGGGCUGACUGAGCAGUUGAAUUGUUGGAGCUAGCAGACUCUUCUUUGCUCGCUGAUUGGGCUUGGGCUUGGACUUGGGCCAAUAGAAGAUUAGCAACUCUGAGUAUUGUCUUGAAUAAAAUUCAGUGUUGGACUUGGAUUUGGUUGACUUGGUCUUUGGUUUACUUGGUCUUGAUACUGGAAAGGGGCUAUCCAGUGGGGCUGUUGGAUAGCUUGACUUUGUGGCAACGGGGCUGCUGGAACUGUUUGACUGAGCAGUAGGUACAAGAACAGAAAAUUCCAGCUUGACUUGACAAAAAUUCGGGGAUGUUUGAGGCCAUCCCACCAUUUAACAAAAUGGUGUCGAUUACUAGUGGUUAGCAUAUUGGUAUGCCAUUUGAAAAUGCCAUGGGGACUUUGUUUUGGCCAUGAAAAGCAAAAGGCAAGGGAAAUAACUGUAAGGUUCAGGGACUUUUAUAGGGUAGAAAAAUGGUUGACUGAUCAGCAAGGUCGUGGGUAAGAUUUCGGAAGAGCUCCAUGAAAAUCCCACCAUUGAGGAACCAUAAGGGGAUGACUGAUUAAAAUUUGUGAUCAAAGGAAAGAACACGAAUGCAAAAAUGCUCAUUUUGAUGUAGAAGUACUUUGAACCAAGCUUCCAUGUAAUCAUAGUAACUGUAUUGAAUAGGAUGGUUGGGCAGGUCUCGAAGAAGAUAGGGAUGGCCCCAUUCAUCAAGAGAGACUAUGUUGUGGAUAUAUAAAGAAUGGUAAAUAACUUUACUAGGGUCACGUUUAUCAAAGAUAGGUUUGAAAACAACUGACUGGUGUUUUAGCAAAAUAUCUUUAUAAAAAGAGAUUGACUUAUCUGGGUGCAUUGGAGUAAAAUGUCAACCCGGAGGAAAGAAGAAUUGGGCAAGUUUAAUGGGGUCUUUAAAUUCUUGUGAACGGGUUCAAUAAAAAAGAGAUUAGUAGAAUGGGUUUUUUAAUAGAUAACAGAUCUGUUUUGACUGUAAGGGGUGAGCAUGAGAAUCAUUUGAGAAUUGACCUAGAAUGCAGAACAGAGGUAUAAGUGGGUCUGGGUAUUUUGCCCAAAAUUGGUACGAGACUAUUUCAAGAGAAUAGUUGGUGGGAGCAGGAAUGGCAAGUGGUUUAGAGGAAAUUUUUUACCUAGAAUACUCUGCAAAAGAGUAGCAUAACUUAGUAAGAUAAAUUAUAUUAAGGUAAUGACUCUGAAUGAUAUUCAACAAUUCUCGGAUUCGCCACUCGAUUUCUCUUUUGGUAAGAACAAAAAAAAAAGGGUCAAAUCCAUAGUAAUGUAUUUUCAAUUUGAGUACGGUAUCUCUUCAUGAUUUGUAAUUGUGAAUAACUCGGCUUUGAUUGGGAGCGAAAGGCAUUGGCAUGAUUAGGUUUUAACCCCUGUAAAAUCUCAGAGUCAUAAUCUGGAAUAUAAUUCUGCUCCUUAAGUAAUCAAUUCAAAAUCAAAAUGCUUAAAUAGAUUGCCAUUUGGCAAAAGAUUUGUUUUACGUGCAAUAGUUUUUACAUCUUUUUGUAAAUUAUUUAAGCACUUUUACAUCGACUCUGACUAAAAAUUUUUGAUUUAAAAUAUCAUCAUCUUGACAUUUUGAAAUGCCAAGACAAUUAGAUAAAAUCUCUUUUUUAAUAGUCCUAUCAAUUACUCUGUGCUUUAUUCCAGACUCUAAAUGGAAACGGACCAAUUUUGUUCAGGAGAAGAAGGGUGUGACUUUCUGAAGAAGAAUGUGCCUCCUAACCAACAUCAGAAGCAUCGGUUUGAAUAUUUUGAAUGAAUUAUCAGAAGAAUACCUAGACAAUGUAAGGUUUUGGACAUACGAUUUUAUUCUUUAACUAAUAGUAGUGUGGGACUUAAGCCAAGGAGGGGGAAUUGUCUUUGAGGCGAUCAAAAAGAGGUUGACAUUUUUUUCCUAAGGUCUUGUAGAUUCAAAAUAAUAGUCUAAUAUCCAAGAAAUCUUUGUACUGGGUUUUUUUAUCUAUAUCUCAUUAUGGAUUUAUUUAAUCUCUCUGGCGACUUGGAUUAGACCUAUUAAUAGAAUAACAGUUCCUUGAUAAUUUAUAACUCUAGAAAUCUAAAUUUUAGUUUGGAAUAAGUCAAUUUUUUUUAGGCAGCAAUAACAAGACCAUUAUACUUGAUUAUUUCAAGAAUGUGUUCAAUGUUUCCAAUGCUCAAUCUAUUGAGUUAGAAAAGAUAAGAACAUCAUCAAUGUAGACUACUAGUAAGACUGAGUAUAGGGUUAAAUAUUUCAUUCAAUGAUAUUUUGAAAUUCACUAAGAGCAUUUUUUAAUUCGCAAAGGCAUGACAUCCAUUCUAAUGACCACAAGGGGUAUUAGGGCUUUUUAAUUCUAUUAUUAGGAUGAAUUUUGUAUUUGCCGAAAUCCGCUUUUCAAGGCGAAUUUUGAAAAUAUCAAUUGCAUUGUUUCAUCUUUUAAUCAAGGUCUUUUUUAUUAGGGAUGGGAUAUCUUUCCAUUCAAGAUUUUCGUUUAAAUGGUUUAAUAAUUUAUGACUAGCGAGGACACUACUCCUCAAUAUCAGAAUUUUUGUAACAUAAAAGGCCAGGACAAUGCCAUGGAGAUUACUCUUACUAAUGAUGUGUUUUUAUUAAAUCAUUUAUUUCUAUUUUACAAGUUUUCAUAAGGUCAGCAGUCAUUGAAUAGUUCUGGAUUUAUAGGGAUGUUACUUUCAUGAAAGCCUUAAUAUAGGGUAGGGUUACUAUAUGUUUUUCCUAUGCCACAAAGGCACUAUGGAGAGAGCACAGAUAUUUUUUUCAAGUUUUGUUUUUAAGGAAAUAAUUUUAUGUUGUAUUUGUGGAUUAUUUCUGAGUCUUCAAUUCAUUUUAAUAUUUUUAAUUUAUUCUUCUUGAGGAAAUUAAUUUGUUGGUUUUUUGGUUAAUGGUAUUAAUAGAUAAUAGCUAAUUUGUAAUUGGUUUAAUUUUAAUAGUUUCAGGUUUAGAAUGAAUUCAAAGGUUACUGUUUUUAUAACCAUAGGGUUCAGACUGUUAAUCCAUUAGCAUUAGCCUUAGUUUUAAAAGGGAGAUAAUAAAUAAAUAACAGGAAUUCCUAACAUUACUUUAAUCCGUCAUAUGUUUUUUACUAAAAUGAAAGAAGUUUUAGCAGACAUUAUUUUGACAAAUGUGGACUUUUGGUAAUUAUAUUUAAAUAUCCAUUUUACUACCAUUUGUUGUACUCAUCUUUCAGUGUUUUAUGAUAAAAUUUAUGUUAGGGACAAGUCCUUCUUGAAUACAAUUUAAGUCUGCUCCUGUGUCUAUGAGAGCUAUAACUUCAAGCUCGUAGUCUUUAAUAAUUAGUUUAACUUUGGUAUGCCAUUUUUGCAAAUUAAUUUUAUUAAUAAUACUUAUUUUAUUAUCGUCUGUAUUAGUUUCAUCAGAAGAUACUUUUUGUAUCUCGUUGAAUUUAUUAUUAAUUCCUAGCACUGUGAUUUGUUCUUCUAAUUGCUUAUCUUUUAAUUUUAAAGUUUUUAUUUCUUAUUUAAUGGAAUUGAUUUCUUGCUGGUAAGACAGACAAACACGUUUCUUUUGGUUUAUUCUUUUGAAUUUUUUCUAAGGUAUUAUUAAGCUAUAAAUGGUUUUUCUUUUUGUAAUUUAGAUUCUGCCAAAGGGAUUUUAAGUAUGACAUAUUGUGUUUCAGGUGGGAUAUUUCUAAUUUUCUAAUUAAUUCUCUAGUUGCUUCUUCGUCUUUUGACCUUUGGUGAGUACAUUGACUGAUUUACAACAAGUAUUAUUACAAGUAAUGUUAACAUUAUCAGUAUCGGAAGAGGAAUAACUAGGUGAAUUAUGAGGACUGUCAAAAUUAUUAUUUUCAUCAUUAGUUAUAUAACUGUCUAUAUUUGUUAAUUUAAAGAUUUUAAAAAUUUGAUUUUUAUCUUCUUCAGAGAUUUGUAGUUUGUUAAUUCUAGAUUUAGACCAACAUUCAUUUUUAUAAUGUCCUUUCUUACCACAUUUAUGACAUGUAAUGUCUUUUUAUACAUAUUUGUAGAAAUGGUAUGUUUGAGACCGGGGCUUAUGGUAGCUUUUAUCAUAGAAAUUUAUCAUAUUUAUUGGGUUGAGGUCUAUGAUUAUGGUUUUGUGUCGUAGAGCGGAAUGAGAGGCGGAAUUCUUUAAUUUGGAUGUUAUGUUUUCUGAUUGAAGGGAAACCGGGGAGGUAAGACGCUAUUGUUCACAAAAGUUUUCCCAAUUUAGAUUAGCUUGUUUUUUAUCCUUAUUUUCUUGUUAUUUUCUAUUUUCAUGUCAACACAUUCUUAAGCCUUCUUUUUGGGAAUAGUGUUGCUUAUGUCGCCAUAGGUUAAUUGAUCGUAAAUUAAUCUAUUGUUCCUGUUGGUUUUUGACUAAGGACAUCU
rnacentral:lncRNA from 1 species